CCUACGGGAGGCAGCAGUGGGGGAUAUUGCACAAUGGUGGUAACCCUGAUGCAGCGACGUAGCGUGCGUGAAGAAGCGCCUCUGCGCUGAAAGCUGUGUCUGUAGGGAAGUAAAUUACGGUACCUGAAGAAUAUGCUCCGUCUAACUACGUUCCAGCAGGCGCGGUAAUACGUAGGGGGCCGGCGUUAUCCGGAUUGACUGGGUGUAAAGGGGGCGCAGUGGGCAUUACAAGCCAGUAGUGAAAGGCCGGGGCGCAACCACGGCACUGCGCCGGGAACUGCGUGGCUGGAGUGCAGGGGGGGCAGGCGGAAUUCGUGGUGUAGCGGUGAAAUGCGUAGAUAUCAGGAAGAACACCGAUGGCGAAGGCAGCAUGCUGGAGUGCAACUGACGUUGAGGCCCGAAGGCGUGGGGAGCAAACAGGAUUAGAUACCCGUGUAGUC
rnacentral:rRNA from 1 species